AACGAACGCUGGCGGCAGGCCUAACACAUGCAAGUCGAGCGAGGACUUCGGUUCUAGUUGCGGACGGGGGAGUAACGCGUGGGAAUGGGCCCUUCUCUACGGAAUUGUCCUGGUAAACGGGGAGUAAUACCGGAUACGCUCUGUUGGUGAAAGAUUUAUCGUAGGAGGAUCAGCCCGCGUUGGUUUAGGCAGUUGGGGGGGUAAUGGCCUACCGAGCAGACGAUCGAUAGCUGGGUUGAGACGAUGAUCAGCCACACUGGGCCUGAGGCACGGCCCAGACUCCUACGGGAGGGAGCAGUAGGGAAUCUUAGCCAAUGGGGGCAGCCGUAGUCUAGCCAUGCGGCGUAAGUGAUGAAGGCCUUAGGAUUGUAACGCUCUUUCAGCUGGCCAGAUAAUGACGGUAACCGCAGAAGAAGCCACGGCUAACUCCGUG
rnacentral:rRNA from 1 species